GAAGGAUUGGAUGUACUCCCAUAGACCAGAAAACCACACAGAUGUCAAAUUAAGGUUAACGAGGGUGCCGAGGAGAGCCCUUCCAUGUAAAGAAGGACACUCAAAAAGCACCAGGGCUGGGGCAGCUGCUUCACGUGGAGACGCCGGGGCAGUGGAGGAUGCCCGCUUCUCUUGGACCUGCCAUGCUGUGUGGCCGCUGCGCCCGUUCUGCUAGUAAACGGGCAUGCAGAAGAGUAGAAGCAGCCAGCACAGAGUGGGGCUGUGCCCCCGCAAAGCUCAGCACCCUGGUGUCCUGGAGCGGCGAGGGGCUGCCACGUGUGGGGAUCCCUCAGAACGGUGGAAGGAGCUCGGCCCAGCCUUGCCCGAGAUGUAUUGCGGGGGAGUCUGGGCAUCUUAACCACACCGAGAGCCAGUAAGAGGUGCCAGCUGGAAGGUUCUGUCCAUGUGCCAACGAGGGUCGCCCUCAGGAUGGACCUGGGCGCCCACCUGUUCAAAUCGCAGCCCCAUGUCCCCUGGUUCAGGAGAUCCCACCGCCUGCCACGUGAGAGCCAGGAGGACCCCAUCACCUCAGAGGAGCCUUCAAACUGUUGUCCCCCACACACCUUUCAGAUGUAUCUUUCUUGACAAGGAAAUCGUUUGAAUCAUUUAAAAGUUUAAAAAAAAGGUCCAUAUCAGAUUUCCUGUGAGGUUUGAGAACGUGCGUCCUCUGGAACCGUAUCCGGAUGUAGCCCUGCUUUCCUAAUUUCCAGGUGUUUUGUGGACUGAUCAGAGCUGCUUAUGUAUUCUUUUUUAAUUAAAAGACUUAUUUUUAUAUUUAAAAUGCUCUAUUAUCUUAAACUGAGUUUUACUAAAUGCUGGUAUCCAAUCUGUUCUGUGUAAUUCCCCAAAUGAAGUUAUCAGGCACAAGGUCUCUUUUAUAUUAAAAUGGAAAUGUCUCAUUUCUCUUGGGUUUCC
rnacentral:lncRNA from 1 species